GUUUGGCAAACAGUUUGGCUAGUUCAUUCAAUACUUGUCCACUUCCAUUCUUCUUAGUUUCGGGUUUCUUUCUGCUAGGAGUAUUCUUUCUAGUUUCACAUUUCAAGCUUUUUGAAUAGUUUCCUUAAGCGUUUUUCGAACUCAUCAUUUAUUUCCCUAGACUUUCUAUUUAACCUAUUUCUUGCGUCACCACUUUUUUCCGUAG
rnacentral:lncRNA from 1 species